AAGUCGUAACAAGGUUUCCGUAGGUGAACCUGCGGAAGGAUCAUUAAUGAAUUUAAGAGUGCUCUAUUCAAUUAGAGGCUCGACCUUCAUUUUCUACACUGUGAACUUUAUAAUAUCGGCAGUUUGGUAGUCUGGCAUCUAAUGCCUUACGACUCUGUUGAUUCACCUUCAAAACUCUAAAAGUCAAAGAAUGUAACAAACAUAAACAAAACAAAA
rnacentral:misc_RNA from 1 species